rnacentral:rRNA from 1 species
CCUACGGGAGGCAGCAGUGAGGAAUAUUGGUCAAUGGGCGAGAGCCUGAACCAGCCAAGUCGCGUGAGGGAGUACUGCCCUAUGGGUUGUAAACCUCUUUUGUCGGGGAGCAAAAGCCGGACGUGUCCGGAUUUGAGAGUACCCGAAGAAAAAGCGUCGGCUAACUCCGUGCCAGCAGCCGCGGUAAUACGGAGGAUGCGGGCGUUAUCCGGAUUUAUUGGGUUUAAGGGGUGCGCAGGCGGAUUUUUAAGUGAGGGGUCAAAUCGUGGGGCUCAACCCCAUCCAGCCGUGGAGACUGGGGAUCUAGAGUGUGAUAGAGGUAUGCGGAAUGCGUGGUGAAGCGGUGAAAUGCAUAGAUAUAACGCAGAACCCCGAGGGCGAAGGCAGCAUACCGGUGCAAAACUGACGCUCAGGCACGAAAGCGUGGGUAUCGAACAGGAUUAGAUACCCCAGUAGUC